rnacentral:lncRNA from 1 species
ACUGACACUUUUCGGACUCAGCCUGCCUGCACCCAGGUGAUUAAAAGCUUUAUUGCUCACACAAAGCCUGUUUGGUGGUCUCUUCACAUGGAUGCGCAUGAAAUUUGGUGCGGUGACUCGGAUCGGGGGACCUCCCUUGGGAGAUCAAUCCCCUGUCCUCCUGUUCUUUGCUCCGUGAGAAAGAGCCACCUACGACCUCAGGUCCUCAGACCAACCAGGCCAAGAAACAUCUCACCAAUUUCAAAUCCGCCACUCCCAGAGCCCCUGGAACUCUGGCCCAAGGCUCUCUGACUGACUCCUUCCCAGAUCUUCUCGGCUUAGCGGCUGAAGACUGACACUGCUCAAUCACCUUGGAAGCCCCCUAGACCAUCACGGACGCCGAGCUUCAGGUAACUCUCACAGUGGAAAGUAAGCCCAUCCCCUUCUUAAUCAAUACAGAGGCUCCCCACUCCACAUUACCUUCUUUUCAAGGGCCUGUUUCCCUUGCCUCCAUAACUGUUGUAGGUAUUGACGACCAGGCUUCUAAACCUCUUAAAACUCCCCAACUCUGGUGCCAACUUAGACAAUACUCUUUUAAGCACUCCUUUUUAGUUAUCCCCACCUGCCCAGUUCCCUUAUUAGGCUGAGACACUUUAACUAAAUUAUCUGCUUCCCUGAUUAUUCCUGGACUACAGCUAUAUCUCAUUGCCGCCCUUCUUCCCAAUCCAAAGCCUCCUUUGCGUCCUCCUCUUGUAUCCCCCCACCUUAACCCACAAGUAUAAGAUACCUCUACUCCCUCCUUGGCGACCCAUCAUGCACCCCUUACCAUCUCAUUAAAACCUAAUCACCCUUACCCCACUCAAUGCCAAUAUCCCAUCCCACAGCACACUUUAAAAAGAUUAAAGCCUGUUAUCACUCACCUGCUACAGCAUGGCCUUUUAAAGCCUAUAAACUCUCCUUACAAUUCCCCCAUUUUACCUGUCCUAAAACCAGACAAGCCUUACAAGUUAGUUCAGGAUCUGCGCCUUAUCAACCAAAUUGUUUUGCCUAUCCACCCCGUGGUGCCAAACCCAUAUACUCUCCUAUCCUCAAUACCUGCCUCUACAACCCAUUAUUCUGUUCUAGAUCUCAAACAUGCUUUCUUUACUAUUCCUUUGCACCCUUAAUCCCAGCCUCUCUUCACUUUCACUUGGCCUGACCCUGACACCCAUCAAGCUCAGCAAAUUACCUAGGCUGUACUGCCGCAAAGCUUCACAGACAGCCCCCAUUACUUCAAUCAAGCCCAAAUUUCUUCCUCAUCUGUUACCUAUCUCGGCAUAAUUCUCAUAAAAAAACACGUGCUCUCCCUGCCAAUCGUGUCCGACUGAUCUCUCAAACCCCAACACCUUCUACAAAACAACUCCUUUCCUUCCUAGGCAUGGUUAGUGCGGUCAGAAUUCUUACAGAAGAGCCAGGACCGCACCCUGUAGCCUUUCUGUCCAAACAACUUGACCUUACUGUUUUAGCCUAGCCCUCAUGUCUGCGUGCAGCAGCUGCCGCUGCUUUAAUACUUUUAGAGGCCCUCAAAAUCACAAAGUAUGCUCAACUCACUCUCUACAGUUCUCAUAACUUCCAAAAUCUAUCUUCUUCCUCAUACCUGACGCAUAUACUUUCUGCUUCCCGGCUCCUUCAGCUAUACUCACUCUUUAUUGAGUCUCCCACAAUUACCGUUGUUCCUGGCCUGGACUUCAAUCCGGCCUCCCACAUUAUUCCUGAUACCACACCUGACCCCCAUGACUGUAUCUCUCUGAUCCACCUGACAUUCACACCAUUUCCCCAAAUUUCCUUCUUUCCUGUUCCUCACCCUGAUCACGCUGGAUUUAUUGAUGGCCUAAUCGCCACAAACCAGCAAAGGCAGGUUAUGCUAUAGUACAAGCCACUAGCCCGCCUCUUAGAACCUCUCAUUUCCUUUCCAUCGUGGAAUUCUAUCCUCAAGGAAAUAACUUCUCAGUGUUCCAUCUGCUAUUCUACUCCUCAGGGAUUAUUCAGGCCCCCUCCCUUCCCUACACAUCAAGCUUGAGGAUUUGCCCCACCCAGGACUGGCAAAUUAGCUUUACUCAACAUGCCCUGAGUCAGAUAACUAAAAUACCUCUUAGUCUAGGUAGAUACUUUCACUGGAUAGGUAGAGGCCUUUCCUACAGGGUCUGAGAAGGCCACCGCAGUCAUUUCUUCCCUUCUGUCAGACAUAAUUCCUCAGUUUAGCCUUCCCACCUCAAUACAGUCUGAUAACAGACGAGCCUUUAUUAGUCAAAUGAGCCAAGCAGUUUUUCAGGCUCUUGGUAUUCAGUGAAACCUUUAUAUCCCUUACGGUCCUCCGUCUUCAAGAAAAGUAGAAUGGACUAAAGGUCUUUUAAAAACACACCUCACCAAGCUCAGCCACCAACUUAAAAAGGACUGGACAAUACUUUUACCACUUUCCCUUCUCAGAAUCCAGGCCUGUCCUCGGAAUGCUACAGGGUACAGCCCAUUUAAGCUCCUGUAUAGACACUCCUUUUUAUUAGGCCCCAGUCUCAUUCCAGACACCAGACCAACUUAGACUGUGCCCCCAAAAAACUUGUCAUCCCUGCUAUCUUCUGUCUAGUCAUACUCCUAUUCACCGUUCUCAACUACUCAUACAUGCCCUGCUCUUGUUUACACUGCCGGUUUACACUGUUUUUCCAAGCCAUCACAGCUGAUAUCUCCUGGUGUUAUCCCCAAACUGCCACUCUUAACUCUUGAAAUAAAUAAAUAAUCUUUGCUGGCAGGACUAUGCCGAAUCUCCUUAGGCACUCUCUAAUCAGAUAUCCUGAGUCGUCCCAAUUCUUAGACCUUUUAUACCUGUUUUUCUCCUUCUGUUAUUCCAUUUAGUUUCCCAAUUCAUCCAAAACCGUAUCCAGGCCAUCACCAAUCAUUCUAUAUGACAAAUGUUUCUUAUAACAUCCCCACAAUAUCACCCCUUACCACAAUACCUCCCUUCACCUUAAUCUCUCCCACUCUAGGUUCCCACGCCGCCCCUAAUCCCGCUUGAAGCAGCCCUGAGAAACAUCGCCCAUUCUCUCUCCAUACCACCCCCCCAAAAAUUUUUGCCGCCCCAACACUUCAAUGCUAUUUUGUUUUAUUUUUCUUAUUAAUAUAAGAAGGCAGGAAUGUCAGGCCUCUGAGCCCAAGCCAAGCCAUCGCAUCCCCUGUGACUUGCACGUAUACGUCCAGAUGGCCUGAAGUAAUUGAAGAAUCACAAAAGAAGUGAAUAUGCCCUGCCCCACCUUAACUGAUGACAUUCCACCACAAAAGAAGUGUAAAUGGCUGGUCCUUGCCUUAAGUGAUGACAUUACCUUGUGAAAGUCCUUUUCCUGGCUCAUCCUGGCUCAAAAAGCACCCCCACUGAGCACCUUGCGACCGCCACUCCUGCCCGCCAGAGAACAAACCCCCAUUGACUAUAAUUUUCCUUUACCUACCCAAAUCCUAUAAAAUGGCCCCACCCUUAUCUCCCUUCGCUGACUCUCUUUUCGGACUCAGCCUGCCUGCACCCAGGUGAUUAACAGCUUUAUUGCUCACACAAAGCCUGUUUGGUGGUCUCUUCACACGGACGCGCAUUAAAAAAACAUCCUUACAUAAUAUGUUAAAGGAUGCUAUACAAUAUGGGGAAAAUGAUAUAAGUAUAUGACCCAAGAGGAUGAAAAAAUUCACUUAUUGGCAGAAAGGACAACAUCAUUUGUAUGUAGAAAAUCACCUCUCAAAAUAGUAAGUUGCUGAAAGGGGAGUGGUUGCGCUAGAAUCAGCACCAAUGACUCUUUUAUCCUAUUUCUCAGUUUUAGGGGAAAAGACUCUACAAAACUACAGGUGUUUUGCUGACAGUAGAAAAAAACCUUCCCUUGUUAACAUGUUAGUCAAGCUUUGGAAAAGACAUCACAUGUCAAAUCCUAUCACAGGAUGCUUUAUAGAGAUUAUCUAUUUUAAAUUUUAUUGGAAUUUCGAUGACAUCAAGUUGUUAUUGCUUGGACCACAGUGGUGGUGGUUAUCUGAAGAUUUCUGCAAAAGUGCCAUGCCUCCUCAAAUAAGGGGAGAGGGAAAAUCAUUUGGGGACAGCCAACUUCUUCCUUGAGCGGUGCAGUUAUAAUCAUGCAUUGUGCCCUCUGUGAGUGCUUCUUUCUCCUUUGAAAUUCUUCAGUGGGUUCUUCAGCAUCGCCCACUCUGUUGCUGGAGACCACCCAUUGUGCCCUUGGAUGGCGUGCCCAAUAUCCUUGGCCAGCUGGCUGCAUUCCCCACUCAGCUACUGAUUGUUGAUUGUUGUGCUUCACGAACUUCCCGCUGAGCGUCCUCUCAUCCUGGGGUGGAGAGCAGGCCCAUCACGGGGCUCCCACCUGCCUGCCUGCCAUACUGUCCAUGCCAGUGCCUGAGAAACACCGCCUCUGCUCCACUUUCAGUGGGAACCAGCGUUUUGCACCCCCCUCCAUAGCCUUUUCUCUUCACUCUACCACCUGAAGCAAUUCCCACUGGGCCGCUUCUUCACCUUUAAGUUUUCCAGGUAAGAAUCAGACAUCAGUCUCUGUGUCUUGUCAAAUGUUCAGGGAUACUACCAAGCUCUUUAAGUGGUCUUAUAGAAGCCUCCACAGUUUACAGAUGGGGUAAGCACCCACUUUCCAUCUUUUGUGGGAAGAAAAAUGCACAGCACUCUGAGAACUGUCUCUAAGGAAUUAAUCACUAUCAACUUCCUUUCUACUCUCAUAUAUGGAGGUAGGCAAUGGGCUAAGGGGGUGGACUAGCACCUCUCUUUAGAAAGUGGAUACAUUUCCCAAUUGCAGUCAUCAGGUUGGGAGCCUGGGGCCUCACUGGAAAUUGAGACAAAAUAAAAGUUAAGUUCAACUUAGACUGUGCAUAUGUAACAUUCAAACAUUUGGGUUAUUUGAGUCAGUGAGUUCAGUGAUUAGUAUGAAUCCUUACCAUGUGGUAGACUAGAUUGACUUCAGUAUGACGUAGAUAGGUGUGAUUAAUAACUUAGAGUUAUUUUAGCUGAGGGUGUGUCAUGUACCAAAAACUGGUGAAUGGAACAUAGUUCACAGUGUUGGAAUUAUGGGACUCAACUGGAUAGGCAGGAGGAAAAAGAAAGGGUAAGUAUCAUACACAUAGAAACUGUCAGUAUUUUUUAGACUGCAGAAGUGAAUGUCAGACCUACUGUAUUAAGCUCUUAAGCAAGGGACAAAACUGGAUUUUUCAAGUCUGGGGCUAAUUCAAAAACAGUGUUACAUUGUAACCCAUACCUCAGAAAUUAUUUUAUAAUAGCUAAAUAUUUACAUAGUGCUUACUAUAUGCCAGACACUGUUUUAAACACUUUUAAUGUAUUUAAUCCUUUUAACAAUUUUACAAGAUAGAUGCACUGUUACUUCCUUUUACAAAUGAGGAAAAUGAAGCACAGAGGGAUCAAACAACCAGCACAAGGUUAAAGUCAUGGAAAAUAUGAGAUGUAAGCCCUGAUGUUUGGUAUUAGACUACACUUUGCUUUCACAAACAUUAUCUUGUGAUUUAUGUCACAAAUAAAUCACAUUAUAUAGCAAUGAUAAAGCAAUUCCAAAAGAUAGGCAUAUCAGACUCAAGCAUACUCAAUGAAUCACUUAGCUAUGGGAUGAUAGGGGCUGCCUAGAAAAUAAUAGACUGUUGUAGCUCCUGUUCCAGUUCCUUCUACCACCUUCUGACGGGUAUGUUUUGUUUGCCAUUUAACUUACAUCACAACAUGUUAAUUUCAAGAAUAAAUUUAUUAGUGUUUUUCUAAAAGUAAAAAUAAUUGAGGAGAAAAUAAAUCAGCAAAUGUUAUAUUAAAUAGAACAGACACUUACGGCCUGGAGUCUUUUCAUUUUUAAGGUAUAAAAAGCUUUUAUUGCUUUUAUCUUACUUAAAAAGCAAUGCGUGCUUAUGACUGAAGAAUUAGAAAAUCUCUGCAAAAGGGAGAAGAAAGCAUUCACAACCCAACUACCUGAUGAUAACCACUGUUAAUAUCUUAGUAACUGUCCUUUCAAGCCUAUGCAUAUAUAUGUUCAUUUAAUGUGUGUGUGUGUAUUUACAUCAUUAUUUAUAUAACAUUUUUAUUUUUGACUGGGGGAAGAGCAAAAUUUUAUUUUGGAAUGAAAAAGGCCAACGGGGUAGUCAGAAAAGAAUAAAGUGAGUGGUGUGGCAUCCUCUCUCCAUCUUCUUGGUGGCUUGGGUUAUACAUCUGUGCUUCAAGUUCUUCCAAAGGCCCAACUGUUUUGUUUGGUGUGCAUGUUUGCUUACCUUGAAAGUUAUCAAUCAAGCUCAGAGUCCGUUAAAUAAAAUAUAGCCUAUCAUCUAUCUUCAUUAUGACCUGGAAAGACAGAGUCCAAUUUAGACUCCUAGCCCUCUUCACAAGCUCUACCCUGGAACUUGCCCCCACCAGUAGCCUGUCCUACUUCAACUUCCAUUCCUGGCUUUGUCCUGCCCAGUGAAUAGGCUCAUGUACAUUAGGACAGAUACCUGAACCCCUAUGGCCAAGCUCAUUACUCAUCUGCCACAUCCUCUCCUAGUCACCUCUGAGCCUCUUCUUGGCCAUGUAUUUGGCUCACACUUCCCUGGAAGUGGGUUUGGAGCCUCUGGGCAGGGAGUCAUGGAGUCUAGAAGAUUGUGAUCUAGCGUAUGGGCUAGAUGUGGCUUGCGGGCUCAGACUGGGCACUUGUUGGCUGCAGGAACUCCUUCCCUUGCCGGGAAGGAUGUGGCUAGAAGCGGGAAAGAACAGGAUCUUCAUGUAUUCUCUAUAUGAGGUGCUGAUCAAAAUAAAUAAUUAUUUACACCUAGAGAUGUUCUCUAAAUUAUGACUGUAGAAAGUAGGUAAGUAAGUUAAAAUUGGGAAUGUGUAGCUUUAGCAUGCCAACACCUACAUCUGCAGAAUCCCCAUGGUUUAUGUGCGCUGUUGCCUUUGACUGGAACAACCUUCAUCAGACAUGUGCCCUUUUACUUUCACCUUAUUCAUAACUGCUCAAACAUCUUCUUUCCUUCCCUUUCCAUCUAAUCUAUACCAAGUGCACCCACCCCUCCAGCACUCUGUAUCCUCUCACCCCCACUUAUCUUCUUAGAACUUAUCACGAAAUGAAAUUACAGUACCUGUACUUGUUUACUGUCUUUCUGCCCUACUAGAAUUCCACAGAAAAUUAAUCUAAUUUGUCAUUAUAUCUAUUGUGCCUAGAACAGUGCCUGCCACCCAGUGGGCAUUCCCUAAGUAUUUGCUAAAUUACUAAGUUACAAUUAAAAACACACAUUACUCAUACAUAGUGGAAUUCUGAUAUUAAUUUCCACUUCCUUUUAACUAAGAAAUGGGGCAAAUAACUGGAAAUAAAUCUUUUCUACUGCAGUCUGAAUUUUACUUCCAUAAAAUAAAACACAUACAAAUAAUUUUUUAAAAUUAGGAUAUAAUAUCAGAAACCACUGCAUUGGCUAAUGGCAUAAGCAGCGAAAUCUUGGCUCAACCAAACAGUCAACAAAGAAGGAGUGUAGGCCAGGUGUCCCCACCUAGGCUAUGCUAUCUUCUUACUUCCUUCUUCUGGCAGGAAAGGAGAUGUCAGGCUGUAGGAAAGUAGUAGCACGGGCUACUUCCUCAAGGACUAAGUAAAGUAGCAUUCCAUGCUGUGGGCAAAAGGAGACAGGGGCAGGGCCAGGUGCUGGUGAGGAGAGGCAGUCCACUCUCAAGAGGGGACAGUGAGGUGAGGAUCCAGGACCUCUUUCCGGACCACUCCUGGUAGUUCUGAGUUCCAGUCUGACAGCUCACAGACACAGCCCCCCAUUUUGCCUCCAGCAGGAGAAGACAAGGAGAUGGAGAGACUGUCAACCUAGAACCAGUAAUGACCAGUUCCAACUUAAUUACAGAAAGGGAGAAAAGAUCAAUCAUUUAAGUUGCUUCAUCGUCUAAAUAAAAGUGUUUUGGCUGUUGAAACAUGAACCUAGACUCCUGCCUCAACAUAUUUAAAAUGAGAACAAAGUGGCAGUAUCAUGGUGGUGGGCGUUUAGAUGCUUACAUUGUUUUCAUCUACAAAACAGGCUUUCCUUUCACACCCUAGCUCUUUGCUGGGCUGGUGGAGCUGAUUGACAGAUAUAGCCCGCUCCAAAGGAACAGCCCUUUCUCAAGGAAUGAAUGAUUUGCUCUAAGUAUUUAAAUCCUCUGCUCAAAAUCAAACAUAAAUUGAAGUAUCAAAAUAAACAAAAAUAUGGUUUGUGGUUUUGAAAGCAUUUCUUUGUGAUUUUUGCUAAAAAGAGAAAUGCCAAAAAAAUUUUUUUAAAGAUUUUGAGACAAUUAUCUGGCGCAGUGGCUCACGCCUGUAAUCCCAGCACUUUGGGAGGCUGAGGCAGGCAGAUCAUGAGGUCAGGAGAUCAAGACCAUCCUGGCCAACAUGUUGAAACCCCAUCUCUACUAAAAAUAUAAAAAUUAGCUGGGCAUGAUGGGCGCCUGUAAUCCCAGCUACUCAGGAGGCAGAGGCAAGAUAAUCACUUGAAUCCAGGAGGUGGGGGUUGCAAUGAGCCAAGAUCAUGCCACUGCACUCCAACCUGGGC